GGAGGUGGACGUGGAGGACGACAUCGAGGAAAUGGAGGUUGAUGAGAAGGAUGAGGAGGAGCCCAUGGUCCUCGGAUGAAGAUGGAGUCCCACGAGCAAGAGAAGCAGAUGCUUCCCACGCCCAGCCCACCUGAGCCACUGCUGGCAGCAGAGUCCAGCGCUGCUGCAUCCUUUCCUCCAGGACUGAGGGAGAUGAUGGACACUGAUAUGACCCCUUUGUACUUACGGUCUAUGUUUAGAGGUUUUCUGUAAAUAUGUUUUAAAGUUUGUGACCCUAUAGGCUCCCAUGUAAAUAUGUUAGCAAGUUUGUUAGACUAUAGGUACCCAUGUAAAUACGUUAGGAAGUUUGUUAGACUAUAGGUACCCAUGUAAAUACGUUAGGAAGUUUGUUAGACUAUAGGUACCCAUGUAAAUAUGUUCUGUAGUUUGUUAGUCUAUAAGCACCCACGUAAACAUGUUCUGUAGAUUGUUACUCUAUAGGCUGCCAUGUAAACAUGUUCUGUAGACUGUUGUUUUUAUAAGGAUUGUCCAAAUAAAACAUCUUCUGUAAAUCCUA